rnacentral:rRNA from 1 species
GGUUGACCUGCCGGAGGUCACUGCUAUUGGGAUUCGACUAAGCCAUGCGAGUCGUGAGGGUUCGGCCCUCGGCUGACGGCUCAGUAACACGCGGAUAAUCUGCCCUUAGAUGGAGGAUACCCUCGGGAAACUGAGAAUAAUACUCCAUAAGUCUAGGAUGCUGGAAUGCACUUAGGCUGAAAGCUUCGGCGUCUAAGGAUGAGUCUGCGGACUAUCAGGUUGUAGUCAGGGUAACGACCUGACUAGCCUACGACGGAUACGGGUUGUGAGAGCAAUAACCCGGAGAUGAUAUCUGAGACACGAUAUCAGGCCCUACGGGGCGCAGCAGGCGCGAAAACUUCGCAAUGUGCGAAAGCACGACGAGGGAAUCCCAAGUGCUGGCUCGUUAGAGUCAGCUGUUUCUCUGUCUAAAAAACAGAGAGAGUAAGGGCUGGGUAAGACGGGUGCCAGCCGCCGCGGUAAUACCUGCAGCUCAAGUGGUGGCCGCUAUUAUUGGGCCUAAAACGUCCGUAGCCUGUUUACUAAAUGCC